UGAGGAACAUGACCUUCGGCGGGGGAUAGCCGGCCCAACGGCCGGGUAAUACCGCGUACGACCACUUUGGGACAUCCCUCGGUGGUGAAAGCAGCAAUGCGCCGAUGGAGUGCCUCGCGGCCUAUCAGCUUGGUUGGUGAGGUAAUAGCUCACCAAGGCGAUGGACGGGUAGCCAGCCUGGAGGAGGGUCGACCCGGCCACACGUGGGACUGAGACGACGGCCAGACCUCCGUACGGGAGCA
rnacentral:rRNA from 1 species